AGGUCGCUAUUACUUCGUUAUAACAACGUAACGUUAACAGAGUGGAAACAGCCGUUCUUUGCUAUUAAUAUGAGUGUGUAUUAUUUCUUUCUUUGUUCUUUAGUGGAGCUCGAGAUCCUGUUUACUGUGGACUAGCUGUGUGUGACGCCAUGUUGUUUUUGUUUCCAUUACAAAAAAAAAGCUCCACCGUCUCGCCGAGUGCCAGCAAGAGUCAUGAGUACUUGUCAACUCGACUCCUCAACUGGAGAUAACUUUCUAGCACCUCACCAUGGGGAAGGACGCAUUCAUAUGCCUUCACCAGCACCUGCAUUAAACAUGCAGAGAGUUACACAAGG